AAAAACAAUUUAAAUUGUCUGUUGUUUCCCAUUUUAAUUUCAGAAAAAGUACGAUAUAACAGAUGAAAUUCAAUAUUAUUAUAUCAACAGCUACAAAAAUAUACAAAAGCAUCUAAAGUCCAAUUCUUGAAUAUAAACACAGUAUACAGAACUGAACUGGUGCCAAUAAGGGAAAGACUGCAAAAGUUACUAAGGAAACUCCUCCAAAGGCUACACAACAUAAAACCAAAGUGGCCAUUGAUGAGAGUGUUAUAGAAGUUGUAUUAUUAUAUUUAUUUGUAGGUUGAACAAUUAAUAAUGGUUUGAUAAUAUGAAUGGAAAUUUUGUACGAAGAGAUUGGAUUUAAAGUCACCUUUUGUUGUUUGUCGCUAUGAAUAAGUAUUCAAAUUAAAACUUCACAAUUAUUUAAUGUGAAUAGAGAAAUUUUUUUUGGUAAUGAAAUGGAUUGAACUUUGAUGAAUCACAUUUAAACAUCUAGGUAUGGAUUUUUAAAAGUACUACUAGCUUGUUUCAUAUUAGGAUUAGUUUGAAAUUUCACCUUGAUAAGAAUUUUAAAAUUUAAAUGAAUUUUUGUUAUCUAUUGACGGGUCAGGGGAAGAAAGAUUUCAGAUUGUAGUGUCCCUUAUUUGACAAAUGAAUCUCAAAAAACAUUUUUUUGGGUUUUCAAUAAUGUAUAAAGUGAUAUUGAGAACAAGACAAGUUGGUUAGCGAUCAAUAUUGACACAUGAUUUUCAUGUACUCGAAAAUUUGGUGAAUGGAACAUCCAUAAUUUUCCCCGUUACCCUUCAAUUAUUAAUGAUAUGUAUUGUUUUCAAGAGAUGUACUCAUAAAAAAUUUCAGACAAAUUGCAUCCCAUUUAGUGAUUAUGGUUAAGUAAGCAUUCACAACAAAUAAAUAAAUCAUUGUAAAAAAUGAAAGACCAUAUUUGUCACUUAUAUCAUAAUAAAUAUUAAUUUGAUA